UGUGUUGGCCCUGCAAUGGAUGACUUGUCCAGGAUGUAACUCCACUCUCACUCUGGCUCCAGUUGACUUGCAAUGGCCUGUAAACGUCUGGGGACUGAGGAGACAAGUUGCUCAAGUUUAGGGAUAGGAAUGUGUGGCAGCGGGGGCGUGGUCAAGCGCCGGUCUGUGACAGGAGGGCGGAGUCAGGGAAGGUAAGUGGCAGAAUCACUACACCUGAGAGCAAUUAACCUGUGUUUGUGUGUCUUCCCAGUGACCGCGCCCUAUAUCAGGAGGGAGCGCGAGAGCGGAAGGAGCUCAUCCCUAAACCAGACGCCGGUUGUGUGUGUGUGUGUCUGUGUUAGUCACUGGAUAUUGUUAGACUGAAAAGUGUGGCAAUAAAGCCUAGUUGUAAA